rnacentral:rRNA from 1 species
CGCCAAACAACUACGAGUAGUAACUUAAAACUUAAAAGACUUGACGGUGCUUCACUACAACCUAGAGGGGCCUGUGCAAUAACCGAUAACCCACGUUUAACCCAACCCCCCCUCGCCAACAGUCUAUAUACCGCCGUCGUAAGCUUACCUUGUGAAAGCUAUAGAGUAAGCCUAAUAACCCUACAUUAAAACGACAGGUCGAGGUGUAACCAAUGGGGGGGACUAUCAUGGGCCACACUCUCUUCUUAGAGCACGGACAAUACCAUGAAAAAGUAUUCAAAGAAGGAUUUAGCAGUAAGCCGGGACAAAAUUCCCGCCUGAACAUAACGCAAUGAAGCGUGUACACACCGCCCGUCACCCCUGCAUCACCCCACAAAACAUUCAUAAAACCACCUACUAUAAACCAACCAGGGCAAGUCGUA